rnacentral:rRNA from 1 species
GGGCCCGCACAAGCGGUGGAGUAUGUGGUUUAAUUCGAUGCAACGCGAAGAACCUUACCAGGGUUUGACAUCCUGCGAAUCUCUUGGAAACGAGAGAGUGCCUUCGGGAACGCAGUGACAGGUGGUGCAUGGCUGUCGUCAGCUCGUGUCGUGAGAUGUUGGGUUAAGUCCCGCAACGAGCGCAACCCACGUCUUUAGUUGCCAGCGAGUAAUGUCGGGAACUCUAGCAAAACUGCCAGUGCAAACUGUGAGGAAGGUGGGGAUGACGUCAAAUCAUCACGGCCCUUACGACCAGGGCUACACACGUGCUACAAUGGUAGGUACAGAGGGCAGCUACACAGCGAUGUGAUGCGAAUCUCAAAAAGCCUAUCGUAGUCCAGAUUGGAGUCUGCAACUCGACUCCAUGAAGUAGGAAUCGCUAGUAAUCG